rnacentral:rRNA from 1 species
UACGUAGGGUGCAAGCGUUGUCCGGAAUUAUUGGGCGUAAAGAGCUCGUAGGCGGUUUGUCACGUCGGAUGUGAAAACCCGAGGCUUAACCUCGGGCCUGCAUUCGAUACGGGCAGGCUCGAGUUCGGUAGGGGAGACUGGAAUUCCUGGUGUAGCGGUGAAAUGCGCAGAUAUCAGGAGGAACACCGGUGGCGAAGGCGGGUCUCUGGGCCGAUACUGACGCUGAGGAGCGAAAGCGUGGGGAGCGAACAGG